rnacentral:rRNA from 1 species
AUUCCAGCUCCAAUAGUGUAUAUUAAAGUUGUUGCAGUUAAAAAGCUCGUAGUUGGAUUUCUGGCGGGAGCGAUCGGUCCUUCACUCAGUGUUGGAACCUGAUUGUCUCCUGCCAUCCAUGGAGAAAACUUAUCUGGCAUUAAGUUGUCGGGUAGGCAAUCUCCAUCUUUUACUGUGAAAAAAUUAGAGUGUUCAAAGCAGGCUUAUGCCGUUGAAUAUAUUAGCAUGGAAUAAUAAGAUAGGACUAUGGUACUAUUUUGUUGGUUUGCGAGUCAAAGUAAUGAUUAAUAGGGACAGUUGGGGGUAUUCGUAUUUCAUUGUCAGAGGUGAAAUUCUUGGAUUUCUGAAGGACGAACUACUGCGAAAGCAUUUACCAAGGAUGUUUUCAUCG